GCUUCCCCUUCUAUCUCUAAAGCAGAGGUCCCAUUGGCCUUUAGAAUGGAACAAAACCUCCAGGUCACCCGUGUACAAAAUGUAAAGGAGCUGAUGAUCCCCAAUCCUGGACAGUGGAGAGUCUGAACCAUCGCCUCUUCCUCCUGCACUGGAUAUACCUGGCACCUGCUCACCUGCCUGUGCACAUAGCGCAGAGGCAGGCCUGGCUCAGAGGGACUGCUGUUUCUUCAGAGGGAACCAGGUUGACUCUGCUCUCUUCUCCUAGAGAUUAGUCUGGGUCUGUCAGCUGUCAUUAACUCACUGUUCAUAUGGGCAGCUUAGGAACAGAUCACGGCAUCCGAAAUCAGAAUGCCAUUAGAGGCUUGUCCCUAGAGGCUGAAGCACUGCAAACAGGCAAGCAGAAAGAUGCAGCUCACACCACACAUCCUGGGAAAUCACAGGGGCCUCCAUGCCGAGGAAAGAGGGACCAGCGACUCCCUCCUCUCUGGCCACAACAGGAGAGAGAGCAGCAUCCCUCUGGGCCUCCGUUCCCAGCCUGCUUGGAGGAGUGGCGGUCUCUUCUCAAUUGGAACCAGAAUCGGCCCAGAUUCUCAAGCCAAGGGAGCUUCCUCCUGACGCUGGUCUCUGGUUUGGUCCCUGCACACUCGACCCGCCCCCCCAGGGUUUCAGGGGAGCCCUGUGAGCAGGUGCCCAAAGGACGGAAGCCAACAGCAGCCUGCAGUCCAGAUGACAGCUCCCCCUCUGCGGCCCCGGGGCUUCCAACUCCAAAGCAGACUGAUCACUCACUGGACCUGUCUGCACAGCCAAUUUGUUUCAGACUAGAAAUUUCUACACAAAUCUUGUAAAUAAUUCUUCAUGACUAAAGAGGUCAGUGUGAAAAUGCUUUAUAAAGUGGCUCUGCAAUCCAGGGCAGAGUCUGAUCCGUUCUUUAAUACCCGUGUGACGCACUGUCCGGGCUUCGGAAGUGCUGGCUCACUCCACACUGGCUAUGGCUGGGGCUUUCUGAACAUCAUCCUGACAAGCAUGGCCCUGCGAUGCUAUGUGGGGUCAGGCCGUCCUGCAUGCUUGAAACCCCCACGGCUCUCCUGCAGGGAUAAGGACCCUGCACAGCAUAUAGGGUCGUAGCCUGGCACUGGAGACCCUCCAUCUCUUCCUCUCUUCCGUCUGACAAUUGGGUCCAACUUCCUAGGUAUGUUCGUACCUGAGCCUCGGGAGCUACCAGGUCACCAGUCUCUCCACCUCUCUCCUGCAGACGCCAUGGCGCCUCCACCUGAAGAUGCCACGUUGCCCCCUUCACUCUUUGUAACAUUAACUUUAUUGGCGCAUGUUAUGUACACAAUAUGAUGGCACUCAUCACUGGGAACUUGCACCUUGACAUACUUUAUCUUGGUUCUCAUUUUUCCCCCUUCUCCUGCCCUCCCUUCAACCCCUCCACCCCUCCCUAUUUACAAAGACUUUGUUUCCAUUUUUUCAUUUUCUCAUAUUAAUUCACUCUUUGCCAAGAGGAGCAAGUUUUGCAGACAAAGCCCACACAUGGAGCUACCUUCCACAUCUCUCCUUACUCUGGCCUCAGCGGCCUGGUCGUGAUUCUUUUCCACUCCUCCCACUGCCCAGCCUCAACCUCCUGACCAGACAAAACUGCUCAUUGUUCUCUCCAAACUCACAGACCGCUCUGUCUUCAGAUGGACCGCACAGCCCAGGGGAAGUAAUGUGCAAACUACUUCCCAUACCCCUCAGCCCACCUGAAGCUGGCCUCCUUCUCCCUUCCCUGGGGAUCUCUUCCUGUGUCGCGGUCCAUUGGCGCAUGCCCAGCAGGCCCUGCAUCACUCACACACCCUCUCGGCCUGAGUGCUAUGCAGACCUCAGCUUGGAAUAUGGGGAGCGGGCAGCAGGAAGCUGAGUCCAGCACUGAGAUAAGCUUUUGGCUGCAGAGAGGCCCCUCACCGACAUUCAGAUCCCAUUCCCAAGGGUGCCUGGGCACAACGACUUGUCAGUGAGGCAGGAUGAAGACCAAGUCCUCUCCUUUCAACUGAAGAGGACCUCCUGUUCUCAGCCCCAAAGCUCCUGCCACGAUACAGGACUGGCCCAGGCCUUCCCUGGAACUGCACAACAGCUCAGCUGCUGGCCCUGCCACCUCUGCUUCCCUGCAGGUGUGGCCCAAAGUGCUCCCAAGCGCUAUUCCACACCAGCUCUCGACCAUGGGUGGGCUUCCAAGGACACCCAGCACCCAAAACUCUCUGGGCAGCUCCUUCAGGCCGGAGAACACCUGAUGGCCAAUUUCUCAUCUUCCAGAGCAAGCUCCUGUCUUCAAAACGAGGCGAUUCUACAGGAACAGAGCUGCUGACUCUAUGUGCAAGAGACGAAGAUGACCUACUCUAUGAAGCAACUGCAGGCUGAGCACCGUCUCCGGGCCAAAACAUACAGACAAGCGAGGUACCCUCAGGAAGAAACAGAGCCAGGAAUGGGCUCUGUUUACCUCCUUUUCCAAUUUUAUGUCUGACAAGCAGUAGGUGUUGUAUAGGAGUUCAUUUUUGUUUCUUCCUGAGGUGUGGAGUUGGACUGGGUCAUGUUCUUACUAGAGGUACUGUGUGUUCCUCACAGCGGGAGAGUAGCACUCCCGUCACCUUACCCCAGGUGAGCUUGGCCACGUGUCUCUCACCCCGUGUGCAGGAUCAAGGCCAACCUGGCCUGCUGUUCUCAGGGUGACAACAGAAAUGUCGGGGAGCAAGCCCCACGUGCCACGCAUCUCAGGCUUUUACCGCAUCAUAGGCUCCAUUUUCCCUAACCAGAGAAGGGUGAGACAGGCCACAGAGCUCUCAAAGAUCAUCCAGUCUGAUACGAGACGACAGCAUGUUCUGCAAGGUGCUGGAUCGCUCAUUCCCCAGGUUGCUCUCCGACAGAGCCCACCACUGGGCCGCCCGCCCUGAGCAUUGCUGGCCACUCUUCGGUCAUGGCCCACUUUCAAUAGGACAGCAGGAGAGACGCACAUGGCUGGCAAAAUGCAAAAUAAAUAUUUCAAUCCAAAGCAUAAAAUCUUUUUUAUUAUU